rnacentral:rRNA from 1 species
AUUGAACGCUGGCGGCAGGCCUAACACAUGCAAGUCGAGCGCGUGCCGGACGGGUGAGAAAUGUAUGGGGACUGCCCGAUAGAGGGGGAGAACUACUGGAAACGGUAGCUAAUAACCCAUACUAUCGGAUAACCCAUAUGGGAGUAGCUAGUAGGUGAGGUAAUGGUUCACCUAGGCGACGAUCCCUAGCUGGUCUGAGAGGAUGAUCAGCCACAAUGUGACUGAGACACGGCCCAGACUCCUACGGAGGCAGCAGGGGGGAAUAUUGCACAAUGGGCGCAAGCCUGAUGCAGCCAUGCGGCGUGUAUGAAGAAGGCCCUAGGGUUGUAAAGUACUUUCAGUCGGGAGGCGUUACCGACAGAAGAAGCACCGGCUAACUCCGUGCCAGCAGCCGCGGUAAUUC